rnacentral:rRNA from 1 species
CCAAUAGCGUAUAUUAAAGUUGUUGCAGUUAAAAAGCCCGUAGUUGAAUUUCGGGGUCAGUAGGUUGGUCAUGCCACUGGUAUGUACUGGCCUCACUGAUUCCUCCUUCCUGAUGAGCCGUAAUGCCAUUAAUUUGGUGUUGCGAGGAAUCUGGACUGUUACUUUGAAAAAAUUAGAGUGUUUAAAGCAGGCUAACGCUUGAAUACAUUAGCAUGGAAUAAUGAAAUAGGACGUUCGAUCUUAUUUUGUUGGUUUCUAAGAUUGACGUAAUGAUUAAUAGGGAUAGUUGGGGGCAUUAGUAUUCAAUUGUCAGAGGUGAAAUUCUUGGAUUUAUUGAAGACUAACUACUGCGAAAGCAUUUGCCAAGGAUGUUUUCAUUAAUCAAGAACGAAAGUUAGGGGAUCGAAGACGAUCAGAUACCGUCGUAGUCUUAACCAUAAACUAUGCCGACUAGGGAUCGGAUGAUGUUAAUUUUUUAAUGACUCAUUCGGCGCCUUAC